rnacentral:rRNA from 1 species
CGGUCGUUUAUUAACGCUGAGGUGUGAUGACGAGGCACUACGGUGCUGAAGUAACAAAUGCCCUGCUUCCAGGAAAAGCCUCUAAGCAUCAGGUAACAUCAAAUCGUACCCCAAACCGACACAGGUGGUCAGGUAGAGAAUACCAAGGCGCUUGAGAGAACUCGGGUGAAGGAACUAGGCAAAAUGGUGCCGUAACUUCGGGAGAAGGCACGCUGAUAUGUAGGUGAAGCCCCUGCGGGUGGAGCUGAAAUCAGUCGAAGAUACCAGCUGGCUGCAACUGUUUAUUAAAAACACAGCACUGUGCAAACACGAAAGUGGACGUAUACGGUGUGACGCCUGCCCGGUGCCGGAAGGUUAAUUGAUGGGGUUAGCGGCAACGCGAAGCUCUUGAUCGAAGCCCCGGUAAACGGCGGCCGUAACUAUAACGGUCCUAAGGUAGCGAAAUUCCUUGUCGGGUAAGUUCCGACCUGCACGAAUGGCGUAAUGAUGGCCAGGCUGUCUCCACCCGAGACUCAGUGAAAUUGAACUCGCUGUGAAGAUGCAGUGUACCCGCGGCAAGACGGAAAGACCCCGUGAACCUUUACUAUAGCUUGACACUGAACACUGGUCCUUGAUGUGUAGGAUAGGUGGGAGGCUUUGAAGCGUGGACGCCAGUCUGCGUGGAGCCGUCCUUGAAAUACCACCCUUUAAUGGCUGGUGUUCUAACGUAGACCCGUAAUCCGGGUUGCGGACAGUGUCUGGUGGGUAGUUUGACUGGGGCGGUCUCCUCCCAAAGAGUAACGGAGGAGCACGAAGGUUAGCUAAUCCUGGUCGGACAUCAGGAGGUUAGUGCAAUGGCAUAAGCUAGCUUGACUGCGAGAGUGACGGCUCGAGCAGGUGCGAAAGCAGGUCAUAGUGAUCCGGUGGUUCUGAAUGGAAGGGCCAUCGCUCAACGGAUAAAAGGUACUCCGGGGAUAACAGGCUGAUACCGCCCAAGAGUUCAUAUCGACGGCGGUGUUUGGCACCUCGAUGUCGGCUCAUCACAUCCUGGGGCUGAAGUAGGUCCCAAGGGUAUGGCUGUUCGCCAUUUAAAGUGGUACGCGAGCUGGGUUUAGAACGUCGUGAGACAGUUCGGUCCCUAUCUGCCGUGGGCGCUGGAGAAUUGAGGGGGGCUGCUCCUAGUACGAGAGGACCGGAGUGGACGCAUCACUGGUGUUCGGGUUGUCAUGCCAAUGGCACUGCCCGGUAGCUAAAUGCGGAAAAGAUAAGUGCUGAAAGCAUCUAAGCACGAAACUUGCCCCGAGAUGAGUUCUCCCUGAGACUUUAAGUCUCCUGAAGGAACGUUGAAGACGACGACGUUGAUAGGUCGGGUGUGUAAGCGCAGCGAUGCGUUGAGCUAACCGAUACUAAUGAACCGUGAGG